rnacentral:rRNA from 1 species
UGAUUGAGAUUUUAACACGAAGUGAGUGGCGAACGGGUGAGUAACACGUGGGUAACCUGCCCAGAAGUAGGGGAUAACACCUGGAAACAGAUGCUAAUACCGCAUAACAACUUGGACCGCAUGGUCCGAAGCUUGAAAGAUGGCUUCGGCUAUCACUUUGGAUGGUCCCGCGGCGUAUUAGCUAGAUGGUGGGGUAACGGCUCACCAUGGCAAUGAUACGUAGCCGACCCUGAGAGGGUAAUCGGCCACAUUGGGACUGAGACACGGCCCAAACUCC